GCAGGACGGGGGGCAGGGAAGGCGAAAGCCGCGAAGGAGGGGGAACAACGCACCGGCCGAAGCAACGAGCCCCGAAAAGGGAGGGCGCGGAAGCGCGCGACCGACACCCGGCCGGCGAGGCAAGGGCCAGGCCCCGAGGAGGAGGAGGGCGCGGCGGGCGCGGCAAAACCGGGGCGGGAGCCCGGGCGGAGCGGCCGGCGGGGCGGAGCGGGGGGAGGAGCAAAGAGGCAAAGGAGAACGGGAAGGCCGAAGAGGGGAAAGGGCCAGGGGAACGGCACGGGCACAGGGGGAGGCGAGCCGAAGAGACGGGGGAAGCCCGGCAGAGAGCGGGGGCACG
rnacentral:lncRNA from 1 species